rnacentral:rRNA from 1 species
UGCGUAGGCGGAUUAAUAAGUCAGUGGUGAAAACCUGCAGCUUAACUGCAGACCUGCCAUUGAUACUGUUAGUCUUGAGUACGGUCAAGGUAGGCGGAAUGUGUAAUGUAGCGGUGAAAUGCUUAGAUAUUACACAGAACACUGAUUGCGAAGGCAGCUUACUGGGCCAUUACUGACGCUGAGGCACGAAAGCGUGGGGAGCGAACAGGAUUAGAUACCCUGGUAGUCC